rnacentral:lncRNA from 1 species
CACACAGCCCUCAGUCCUAAAGGCUGGUCUCACUCCCAUCCUGCCACGCAACAGCACAGGGUCUAUUUCGAGACAGCCAGUGACCAGGGCUGAGAACUUGCCCCAGACCACCAGCCUCCUCACUGAGAAAGCAAGCAGAAUCACAGUUUUUUGGAAUCUCAGGGAGCCUUCAGCGGCAAUCCAGUUCCUUCAAAGGGUCUGUGGAUUCUCUCAGUUUUCAUGAAGCUGGCAUGUAAUUCUCGUUAACUCCAUGAGCAGAGUUUCAAUACUGCCCUGACCAAUGGGCAAAGAUGAUUCCCAGAAACCAGCCAAGGCAAUGUGAAGGAUUCCAAGAGAGGCAAUAUGGAUGAAACCAUUUAUUAGAUUUAUAAGAGCUGAAGGAAAGUGGUAAAGCUAUCCAUCUUCUAUACUUUAUUGAGAACAGGACCAAUGACUCAGACUAUCAGGACAGUAUCUCCAAGACAGAAUUGAAAUCCUAAAGUAAGCAGAGAAUAAGUGCAUACAUUUUAGGAGAAGAGGGAUCAAAGGCAGAAGGAAGAAAUGCACGGGUGUCAGCUGUGACCCUCGAAGGAAAGGGAUCACCCUCUUUCUGACCCUAUACCACCUUCAGCAGGGAUGAAGGCAGUCAGAGAAAACUUAGUUAAAAAAUUUCUAAACUGCUUUGCUGAUUUGAUCUGGGGCCCUGGAGUGCCAACAUCCUGUGAUAGCGGCUGAUUGUUGAUGCCUGGGAGGAUACAGCAGUGACGAUCCAAAUUUACAAGACUCAACAUGGUUUUCAAAACUUCCUUUUAAAAAAGAUGUUCCUGAGUUCUGGAAUCUGAACAAAAUAUGUCUGGUUAUUAUAUAAUUCUAAUGGUCCUUGUGGAUGCUACCAUUAGAGUUCAGUUAGUGUCUCAUCUAUCACUGUAAUAUUUGUAUUGUAACACUAAUCGUGGCAAAGUAUGAUUUGAUAAAUGCUCAUUCUCAAAUCUU